UACGGAGGGUGCGAGCGUUGUCCGGAAUCACUGGGCGUAAAGGGCGCGUAGGCGGUUCGGUAAGCGUGCGGUGAAAGCCCGGGGCUCAACCCCGGGUCGGCCGUGCGGACUGCGAGACUGGAGCACUGUAGAGGCGGGUGGAAUUCCGGGUGUAGCGGUGGAAUGCGUAGAGAUCCGGAAGAACACCGGUGGCGAAGGCGGCCCGCUGGGCAGUGGCUGACGCUGAGGCGCGACAGCGUGGGGAGCAAACAGG
rnacentral:rRNA from 1 species